UGCUACACAUGCAAGUCGAACGGUGAAGCCAAGCUUGCUUGGUGGAUCAGUGGCGAACGGGUGAGUAACACGUGAGCAACCUGCCCUGGACUCUGGGAUAAGCGCUGGAAACGGCGUCUAAUACUGGAUAUGAGCUCUCAUCGCAUGGUGGGGGUUGGAAAGAUUUUUUGGUCUGGGAUGGGCUCGCGGCCUAUCAGCUUGUUGGUGAGGUAAUGGCUCACCAAGGCGUCGACGGGUAGCCGGCCUGAGAGGGUGACCGGCCACACUGGGACUGAGACACGGCCCAGACUCCUACGGGAGGCAGCAGUGGGGAAUAUUGCACAAUGGGCGGAAGCCUGAUGCAGCAACGCCGCGUGAGGGAUGACGGCCUUCGGGUUGUAAACCUCUUUUAGCAGGGAAGAAGCGAGAGUGACGGUACCUGCAGAAAAAGCGCCGGCUAACUACGUGCCAGCAGCCGCGGUAAUACGUAGGGCGCAAGCGUUAUCCGGAAUUAUUGGGCGUAAAGAGCUCGUAGGCGGUUUGUCGCGUCUGCUGUGAAAUCCCGAGGCUCAACCUCGGGCCUGCAGUGGGUACGGGCAGACUAGAGUGCGGUAGGGGAGAUUGGAAUUCCUGGUGUAGCGGUGGAAUGCGCAGAUAUCAGGAGGAACACCGAUGGCGAAGGCAGAUCUCUGGGCCGUAACUGACGCUGAGGAGCGAAAGGGUGGGGAGCAAACAGGCUUAGAUACCCUGGUAGUCCACCCCGUAAACGUUGGGAACUAGUUGUGGGGACCAUUCCACGGUUUCCGUGACGCAGCUAACGCAUUAAGUUCCCCGCCUGGGGAGUACGGCCGCAAGGCUAAAACUCAAAGGAAUUGACGGGGAC
rnacentral:rRNA from 1 species